rnacentral:lncRNA from 1 species
GUGAAUUAAAGUGAUUCUAAUCUUGAUAACAUGGAUGAAAGUGAUUCUGACCUUGAUGGUUGGUAGUUUUAUAGAGGAUUCAAGUUUGAAAUAUUUUAUUUUGGACCAUUUAAGAAUCAUACAUUAUUGAUGUAGAUGUUUUGAAAUAUAUUUCUUAUUAGCUGUAAUGAUUUACAUUAGACUUGUAUUGAAUGAUGUUUUUGAGACUUAUUGAAGGUUUUGAAU